UACGAAGGGGGGCUAGCGUUGUUCGGAAUCACUGGGCGUAAAGGGCGCGUAGGCGGCUUUGUAAGUCGGGGGUGAAAGCCUGUGGCUCAACCACAGAAUUGCCUUCGAUACUGCAUGGCUUGAGACCGGAAGAGGUAAGUGGAACUGCGAGUGUAGAGGUGAAAUUCAUAGAUAUUCGCAAGAACACCAGUGGCGAAGGCGGCUUACUGGUCCGGUUCUGACGCUGAGGCGCGAAAGCGUGGGGAGCAACAGG
rnacentral:rRNA from 1 species